UUCUUUUCUAUCUUUGUACAAUUAUACAUGUUCUUUCCCAUUUUGAUUUCAUCAAAUUUGAGGUUAGCUACUCUUUCAAUUUUAGGCAAAUCUUUUUAUUUUGUUCUUGUUAUAAAAUCAAGCUCAUAGCAAUAUAAGUACAAAGAGAAGAAGACAAGAUAUAGAGAUGAAGAAGAGAACUUUUCUUCUUAUUCAAGCAUAUGUUACAAUGAUGAAUGAUAUCUCUAUUUAUAGGUAGAGAAAUCAACCAAAAGGUUAUAGUGCAAUUGCAUGCAGAUUUCAAAUUUUUGGAUUCAUCUUCUAAACUCACACAACUACAAUGAUAACAUGAAGUCGACUGUCAUCGGCUUUGCAGCUUGAUGCGUAACUUUUUGAACUCUCUCAUUUUUUAUACUACUGCAUUGUAAAUGUAUAUGUACAUGCCAACAAUUCAAAAAUCUGCUUACCUA